rnacentral:rRNA from 1 species
UUCCGGUUGAUCCUGCCGGAGGUCAUUGCUAUCGGGGUCCGAUUUAGCCAUGCUAGUCGUACGAGUUCACACUCGUGGCGAAUAGCUCCGUAACACGUGGCCAAACUACCCACCGGAGGACGAUACUCUCGGGAAACUGAGGCUAAUAGUCCAUAGGAGACGCAGACUGGAACGUAGCGUCCCUGAAACGCUCCGGCGCCGGUGGAUGUGGCUGCGGCCGAUUAGGUAGACGGUGGGGUAACGGCCCACCGUGCCGAUAAUCGGUACGGGUUGUGAGAGCAAGAGCCCGGAGACGGAAUCUGAGACAAGAUUCCGGGCCCUACGGGGCGCAGCAGGCGCGAAACCUUUACACUGCACGCACGUGCGAUAAGGGGACCCCGAGUGCGAGGGCAUACUAGCCCUCGCUUUUCGUAACCGUAAGGAGGUUACAGAAUAAGAGCUGGGCAAGACCGGUGCCAGCCGCCGCGGUAAUACCGGCAGCUCGAGUGAUGACCGAUUUUAUUGGGCCUAAAGCGUCCGUAGCUGGCCUCGUCGGUCCGUCGGGAAAUCCACCUGCCCAACAGGUGGGCGUCCGGCGGAUACCACGGGGCUUGGGACCGGAAGACCCAGGGGGUACGUCCGGGGUAGGAGUGAAAUCCUGUAAUCCUGGACGGACCACCGAUGGCGAAAGCACCCUGGGAGGACGGAUCCGACAGUGAGGGACGAAAGCUCGGGUCUCGAACCGGAUUAGAUACCCGGGUAGUCCGAGCCGUAAACGAUGCCAGUUAGGUGUGUCACCCACUACGAGUGGGUGAUGCGCCGUAGGGAAGCCGCUAAACUGGCCGCCUGGGAAGUACGUCCGCAAGGAUGAAACUUAAAGGAAUUGGCGGGGGAGCACUACAACCGGAGGAGCCUGCGGUUUAAUUGGACUCAACGCCGGU